rnacentral:rRNA from 1 species
AACGAACGCUGGCGGCAUGCCUAACACAUGCAAGUCGAACGAGGCCUUCGGGUCUAGUGGCGCACGGGUGCGUAACGCGUGGGAACCUGCCCUUAGGUUCGGAAUAACUCCCCGAAAGGGGUGCCAAUACCGGAUAAUGUCUUCGGACCAAAGAUUUAUCGCCUUUGGAUGGGCCCGCGUUGGAUUAGCUAGUUGGUAGGGUAAAAGCCUACCAAGGCGACGAUCCAUAGCUGGUCUGAGAGGAUGAUCAGCCACACUGGGACUGAGACACGGCCCAGACUCCUACGGGAGGCAGCAGUGGGGAAUAUUGGACAAUGGGCGAAAGCCUGAUCCAGCAAUGCCGCGUGAGUGAUGAAGGCCUUAGGGUUGUAAAGCUCUUUUACCCGGGAUGAUAAUGACAGUACCGGGAGAAUAAGCUCCGGCUAACUCCGUG